rnacentral:lncRNA from 1 species
UGUGCAACACAAAAAAAAAGAAGAAGAGUUUUCAACUCUCUCUCCCUCAUCUGAAUACAGCCGGCUCCAGCAACCGGAGCCAACUCCGGCGACGAAACAAACAGCGGUGGUUGUUCCAGCCGCGACAUCCCCAAACACCUCACCCACUCCCCCCGACCUACGCGAUUUCGACACCACCCUCCGACAAAGAUUUGCGGCGGUGGCGAAGCUGGUUUCUCAUGACAGUGGUGGGUUCAGUUUGGUGCGAGUUCGGGACUCCGGUCAACUUUUGCGACACGAUCGGUUCGGGUCAGAUUUCAUGUUCAGGGUAAUCGUUCGUUCUCUUGGUUUUCCCAAUCUCUACUCAUGCGUUAAUUCAAGAAAUUCUCAUACGCAACCAAUGUUGAUGAUGAUGAUGCUAUGAAAUGAAGUAGCGUUGAUGCCU